GCGUUGAAAUGCAACACAACACACACACACACACACACACACACACACACACACACACACACACACACACACACACACACACACACACACACACACACACACACACACACACACACACACACAGGCAUAAACACACACCAACCCACACACACAGAGGCAUAGACACACAAACCCACACACACACACAGAGGCAUAGACACACACAAACCCACGCACACACACCUUUAAUCCUUAUUAAAAAGAGAUGUGCUUUUGGGCCUGGAGGUGGAACGCAGGGUGCUAGAGUGGAUGCCAAACUGAUAAGAGGUUAUCUGUUGUGUAUUUACACGGAUGGAAGGUCAGCCGCUCACAGGGCUAUCACCUGUGACUCUAAACAAAACACACACACACACACCACAUGCACGCAUGAGCACAUACACAAACACACACACACACACACACACACACACACAGAAAGUAUUUUUUUUGUGAAUAAAGCAGCAAUAGGCAACUCUACCACUUGCUGCCGCCAUAACCAUAACACCCACAGCACUAUGUUAAGCAGAACGGGGUAAGCAGCCCUGUGAGGGAGAGUCACUAUGGAGAUGGAGAAGGGUUACGAGACGGAGGCCAGUGGGCUGAGUUUAUUUGUGUUUGAAGUCUAAUCUCCCCUCCUUCACAUCCCGGCCCCCCCACCCUGAUUAAUGAUCCCGAUGAAGGCAGUGUGACAGUGUGCCAGGAGAUGGCAAGAAGACAGCAGAACCAGGAGGUGGGGGACGAGAGACAGCUAGAGAGAGAGAGGGACAGCGAGGGAGACGGAGAGGGAGUUACCAGGUUUAUUUGGACCUCCAGUUGAGGGCGAUUCCGAAGAAGACAGAGAGCGAGAGAAAGAGAGCAGGGAUGCAGCCCUGUGUUAGAGGAUAGAGGGGCGGGUGGGUGUGGGGAGAUGAUGUGUGCACGGUGUUCAGGGCCAGGGUGCUGACGGAGGAACCCUGACCUCCACUCGCCAGAAACAGCUUGACUCCAUCACCCAGAGCACAGAGGGCUCCUCGCCCGCUCUGCACGCCACUGCCGCACACCGCUGUGUGUGUGUGUGUGUGUGUGUGUGUGUGUGUGUCUCUGUGUGUUUUCCCGAGGUAAUGGAGUCAUCGAAUGGCUGCUCCUAAUGAAGCUCUUCGGAGGCCCGGCGCCGGCGAUGGGAAGUCAUUCAGGCGAUCGAUGUAACAGUAAUGUCUGUUUGCUUUUUGCUCUCCUGUUUCCUUUUUGGAGCCACCACUGUUCGUUAUUGUUAUUCAGACAGACAGACUGACAGAAGGGCAACGAAGAGGAAAGAUACAGAAAGAGUCGAGCAACUCGGCAUCGUCGUGGGAAACGUCAAAGUAGUUUUUACGGUGGUGGAGCAAAUGGCGUCAGUCAAGCGAGAUGGCCUGGCCGGUAGGGCGGGGUCAGGGUUCAACUUUCAGGUGGACCAGUUUAUGAAGACUUGCACUAAAACCCUGAACUAGGGGUGGUGUGAGUCCGAUGUCACCUGGUCACAAAUUCCCUGAUCUGUAAAUAUAUAGCCAUUAUUAUAUUUUCUCAAAAUGUCUGAGAAGCAUAAUUUAUAUUUAUUCAGGUUAUUUAUAAGGAUGUCUCGAAUAAAUUUGUCCAAUCAUGA
ensembl:lncRNA